UACGUAGGGGGCAAGCGUUGUCCGGAAUCAUUGGGCGUAAAGCGAGCGUAGGCGGCCCGAUAAGUCUGCUGUGAAAGUCAACGGCUCAACCGUUGAAAGCCGGUGGAUACUGUCGGGCUAGAGUCCGGAAGAGGCGAGUGGAAUUCCCGGUGUAGCGGUGAAAUGCGCAGAUAUCGGGAGGAACACCAAUGGCGAAGGCAGCUCGCUGGGACGGUACUGACGCUGAGACGCGAAAGCGUGGGGAGCAAACAGG
rnacentral:rRNA from 1 species